rnacentral:misc_RNA from 1 species
GAUUCUGAAGUUAGCAGUUGUAUAGCUGUUCCUGUACGGACAGGGCACCUUGCUGGUGGAAUUUUUCAUCAUAUUCUUCACAAGUUUUUGCCGUAUACCAAGAGUUCUAAGAAAGAGAGAAAAACUGAUGUGGACUGGAGGCAAAAACUUUCGAGCAGAGCUAGCCAGUUUCUCGUGGCAUCUUGUGUUCGCUCAACAGAGGCAAGGAAAAGAAUCUUUACCGAGAUUAACAGUGUGUUUAGUGAUUUUGUUGAGUUUGGAAGUGGUUUUAGGGCACCUGGAAUUGAAAUUCAAGCUUUUGUUGAUCUUCUCAGUGAUGUACUGACCGCUCGUGCACCUACAGGUUCUUCCAUCUCAGCAGAAGCUUCAGCUACUUUCAUAGAUGUUGGUCUUGUUCAAUCUCUGACCCGAGCUCUUAAUGUCUUGGACCUGGAUCAUACUGAUUCUUCCAAGGUUGUUACUGCUGUUGUGAAAGUUCUGGAGUUGGUAACAAAGGAGCAUGUUCAUGCAGCUGAGUCCAAUGCUGGGAGGGGAGAACAGUCGACAAAAACUCAGGAUGAUAAUCAAUCUGGAACUGCUAUUGAUGCCCUUGCAGUCCUGGCUAAUGAAACUUUAUCACAGCCUAAUGUGAAUUCAGUGCCAACAGAUCACAUAGAGCCCUUUGGCGCAACUCAAAACUUUGGUGGGUCUGAAGCUGUCACUGAUGAUAUGGAACAUGACCAGGAUAUUGAUGGAGGUUUUGGUCCAUCCAAUGAAGAUGAUUACAUGCAUGAAAGUAACGAGGACACUAGAAAUCUGGAAAAUGGCCUUGAGAUAAGAUUUGAAAUCCAGCCUGAUGUACAAGAGCAUCUUGAUGAAGAUGAUGAGGAGGACGAUGAUGAUGAUGAUGAGAUGUCAGGUGAUGAAGGAGAUGAGGUUGAUGAAGACGAGGAGGGGGAUGAAGAACAUAAUGACCUCGAGGAAGAUGAAGCUCAUCACUUACAACAUCCUGAUACUGAUCAAGAUGACCAAGAGAUUGAUGAAGAUGACUUUGAUGAGGAGGUAAUGGAUGAAGAGGAUGAAGAGGACGAGGAUGAGGAGGAUGGCGUAAUACUUCGUCUGGGUGAUGGUAUGAAUGGAAUAAAUGUAUUUGACCAUAUUGAAGUUUUUGGUCGAGAGCAUAGUCUCUCCAGUGAAACUUUACAUGUUAUGCCUGUUGAAGUUUUUGGCUCUAGGCGCCAGGGGCGCACGACAUCCAUCUACAAUCUUUUGGGAAGAGGUGGUGACAGCAUUGCUCCUUCACAACAUCCCCUUCUGGUCGAACCCUCUUCCUUGCUGCAAUUGGGUCAGCCACGUCAAUCAGAGAGUAUCCGUGAUGCUUAUUCCGAUAGGAGCUCAGAAGGAACCUCAUCGCGCUUGGAUUCCGUUUUCCGUUCUCUCCGGAGCAGUCGUCAUGGCCAACGGUUCAAUUUUUGGACCAAUGAUAACCAACAAAGCGGUGGAUCAGGUGCCUCUGCUCUUCCACAGGGUUUUGAGGAUUUGCUUGUUUCCCACUUGAGGCGGCCUAGCCCCGAGAAAUCAGCUGAUCAAGAUGCUAUAGAAGGGUCUCAGAAUAGAGGUGAGGCCACCCAGUUCGCUGGAUCAGGUGAAAUGGCAGCUGAAAGUGCUAUGGAGAACAAUAACAACAAUGAAGCCAGAGAUGCCUCUACCCCCUCAACAGUGUUGGAUGAAUCUGGUGGUGCUAAUGUGACACCUGUAGCAAAUGUGUCUUCUCAGGGAACAGAUGCACCAAGUAGCCAAUCUCAACCUGUCGAAAUGCAGUUUGAACAGAACGAUGUUGCCAUAAGGGAUGUUGAGGCAGUUAGCCAAGAAAGCAGUGGAAGUGGUGCAACUCUAGGUGAAAGUCUUCGAAGUCUUGAUGUUGAAA